UGGAUCCAGACUUGAUUCUGGCUCAGGACGAACGCUGGCGGCGCGCCUAACACAUGCAAGUCGAACGAGCGAGAGAGAGCUUGCUUUCUCGAGCGAGUGGCGAACGGGUGAGUAACGCGUGAGGAACCUGCCUCAAAGAGGGGGACAACAGUUGGAAACGACUGCUAAUACCGCAUAAGCCCGCGGUGCCGCAUGGCACAGAGGGAAAAGGAGCAAUCCGCUUUGAGAUGGCCUCGCGUCCGAUUAGCUAGUUGGUGAGGUAACGGCCCACCAAGGCGACGAUCGGUAGCCGGACUGAGAGGUUGAACGGCCACAUUGGGACUGAGGCACGGCCCAGACUCCUACGGGAGGCAGCAGUGGGGAAUAUUGCACAAUGGGGGAAACCCUGAUGCAGCGACGCCGCGUGGAGGAAGAAGGUCUUCGGAUUGUAAACUCCUGUUGUUGAGGAAGAUAAUGACGGUACUCAACAAGGAAGUGACGGCUAACUACGUGCCAGCAGCCGCGGUAAAACGUAGGUCACAAGCGUUGUCCGGAAUUACUGGGUGUAAAGGGAGCGCAGGCGGGAAGACAAGUUGGAAGUGAAAUCCAUGGGCUCAACCCAUGAACUGCUUUCAAAACUGUUUUUCUUGAGUAGUGCAGAGGUAGGCGGAAUUCCCGGUGUAGCGGUGGAAUGCGUAGAUAUCGGGAGGAACACCAGUGGCGAAGGCGGCCUACUGGGCACCAACUGACGCUGAGGCUCGAAAGUGUGGGUAGCAAACAGGAUUAGAUACCCUGGUAGUCCACACCGUAAACGAUGAUUACUAGGUGUUGGAGGAUUGACCCCUUCAGUGCCGCAGUUAACACAAUAAGUAAUCCACCUGGGGAGUACGACCGCAAGGUUGCAACUCAAAGGAAUUGACGGA
rnacentral:rRNA from 1 species